CAGUCGCCGCGGUAAUACGGAGGGUGCGAGCGUUAACCGGAAUAACUGGGCGUAAAGGGCACGCAGGCGGUGACUUAAGUGAGGUGUGAAAGCCCCGGGCUUAACCUGGGAAUUGCAUUUCAUACUGGGUCGCUAGAGUACUUUAGGGAGGGGUAGAAUUCCACGUGUAGCGGUGAAAUGCGUAGAGACGUGGAGGAAUACCGAAGGCGAAGGCAGCCCCUUGGGAAAGCACUGACGCUCAUGUGCGAAAGCGUGGGGAGCAAACAGGAUUAGAUACCCGCGUAGUCCCUGUCUCUUAUAA
rnacentral:rRNA from 1 species